GACGAACGCUGGCGGCGUGCUUAACACAUGCAAGUCGAACGGUUAAGCGCCUUCCUUUUUGGUGGGUGUGGAUGAGUGGCGAACGGGUGAGUAACACGUGAGUAACCUGCCCCCUUCUUCUGGAUAACCGCAUGAAAGUGUGGCUAAUACGGGAUAUUCUGGGUCUGUCGCAUGAUGGGUCUGGGAAAGAUAUUGUUUCGGUGUGGGAUGUGCUCGCGGCCUAUCAGCUUGUUGGUGGGGUGAUGGCCUACCAAGGCGGUGACGGGUAGCCGGCCUGAGAGGGUGGACGGUCAGAGUGGGAAGGAGACACGGCCAAGACUACUAAGGGAGGCAGCAGUGGGGAAUAUUGCACAAUGGGCGCAAGCCUGAUGCAGCGACGCCGAGUGAGGGAUGGAGGCCGUCGGGUUGUGAACCUCUUUCGCCAGGGAAGCAGGACUGCCUCGUUUGUGGGUGGGUUGACGGUAGCUGGAUAAGAAGCGCCGGCUAACUACGUG
rnacentral:rRNA from 1 species